rnacentral:rRNA from 1 species
UACGGAGGGUGCAAGCGUUGUUCGGAAUUAUUGGGCGUAAAGCGUGCGCAGGCGGUUUUGUAAGACAGGCGUGAAAUCCCCGGGCUCAACCUGGGAACUGCGUUUGUGACUGCAAGGCUAGAGUAUGGCAGAGGGGGGUGGAAUUCCACGUGUAGCAGUGAAAUGCGUAGAGAUGUGGAGGAACACCGAUGGCGAAGGCAGCCCCUGGGCC